UGGGGAAUAUUGGACAAUGGGGGGAACCCUGAUCCAGCCAUGUCGCGUGUGUGAAGAAGGCCUUAUGGUUGUAAAGCACUUUAAGCGAGGAGGAGGCUCUUUUGGUUAAUACCCAAGAUGAGUGGACGUUACUCGCAGAAUAAGCACCGGCUAACUCUGUGCCAGCAGCCGCGGUAUUACAGAGGGUGCGAGCGUUAAUCGGAUUUACUGGGCGUAAAGCGUGCGUAGGCAGCUUUUUAAGUCGGAUGUGAAAUCCCCGAGCUUAACGUGGGAAUUGCCUUCGAUACUGGGAAGCUCGAGUAUGGGAGAGGAUGGUAGAAUGCCCGGUGUGGCGGUGAAAUGCGUAGAGAUCAGGAGGAAUACCGAUGGCGAAGGCAGCCAUCUGGCCUAAUACUGACGCUGAGGUACGAAAGCAUGGGGAGCAAACAGG
rnacentral:rRNA from 1 species